GAUAGUUGCUGCAUGAUUCACAUUGUUGAUUGGUAUGAAUUUCUGCUGGCAAUGAAAACAGAGCAUAUACAUGAAAGCAAUGGUCAAGAAAAGAAGAAUUUAUCUUUAGAUUUUACGCUUUCAGUUUCAUUUCAAGUUCCCCCAUUGCAGUAGUGGAUGCCAUUGCUGUGAGCACCUUUGUGUUUCAUUUGUAGACCAUUCAAGCCCCAUAUUCGAACUGUUCGAUCAUCACUAGCUGAUGCCAAAAUGUGUGGAUUUUUUGGAUUCCAGCUGACACAAUUAACAGCUCCAGAAUGACCAGGCAAUGCCUCUAUGAGCUCUCUUGACCCUCUGUGCCAUAUGUAUACCUGUGAGUCUUCACUACCGCUAGCAAUAAAAGCCUGUUCAAGUCCCCCAAAACAAGACCUAAUAACAAACCGGGUACGUUUGUGACCUUUAUAUUUGGACACAAGCUUGAGGCUGCCAUCAAUGUUCCAAAGGUGGAUUUCUUGGUUCAAAAGAUUAACCAGCAAGAACCUAUUAUCUCUUGAUAAUGAGAAUGAAGUUAUUGUUUGAUCCUCCUCUAUCACUCUCUCAAUUUUCGCUUCCCUAUCAUGUAACAGGAUGGCAGUUUCUCUGCACAUGCUUAUGAUCUGCUUCCCAUCACUUGUUAUUUCCAAAUCAGAUAUCUUCAUGGUCCGUUGCCCUUUCCAACACUCUAGCUCUUUUCCAUCCAAAUCCCACAUGCAGAUACUCUUAUCAUUAAUGCCAGAGAAUAUCCAUUUUCCAUCUGGAAACCACCCACAGGAAACAAGGCCAAGACCAGCCUUAUCAUAAACAUGGAGGCAUUCACCAGAUGAAACAUCCCAGCACCUUAUAGCCUCCUCCAUUCCGCAGGUGAGGAGCUGACAGUCAUCAGGACUCCAGGAAACAGAGGAUA
rnacentral:misc_RNA from 1 species